rnacentral:rRNA from 1 species
AAAGCGUGCGCAGGCGGUUAUGUAAGACAGUUGUGAAAUCCCCGGGCUCAACCUGGGAACUGCAUCUGUGACUGCAUAGCUAGAGUACGGUAGAGGGGGAUGGAAUUCCGCGUGUAGCAGUGAAAUGCGUAGAUAUGCGGAGGAACACCGAUGGCGAAGGCAAUCCCCUGGACCUGUACUGACGCUCAUGCACGAAAGCGUGGGGAGCAAACAGGAUUAGAUACCCGUGU